UACAGAGGAGCCAAGCGUUGUCCGGAUUGACUGGGCGUAAAGCGCACGCAGGCGGUGGUGCGCGUGGGGUGUGAAAUCUGGCCGCUUAACGGCCAGGCGCCAUCCCAUACGGCACGACUGGAGGGCUGCAGAGGUCGAUGGAAUUGCCGGUGUAGUGGUGAAAUGCGUAGAGAUCCGGAGGAACACCAGAGGCGAAGGCGGCCUACUGGGCUGCACCUGACGCUGAGCCGCGAAAGCCAGGGGAGCGAACGGG
rnacentral:rRNA from 1 species